GCCGAGCUCUAGUUCUUUUUCCCAGCCCUAUUGCGCGCCGGAAACAAAACAUUUGAUUAAGCCAGUAAAGGAGAUUGAAAGCAAAACAGGACACUAUAGAAACAGUACCGCAAGGGAAAGAAAAGGAAAGCAAAGAAAAGCAAAGAUUAAACCUUGUACCUUUCGCAUCAUGGUUUAGCAAGACACACUUGAGCGAGAUGGCUCACAGCUCAAAAGCCCGAAACCAAGUGAGCUACCUCCCAACAGGAAACAAACCCGUCUCUGUGGCAAAAGAGUGGGGAGAUUGAGAGGUAGCGGUGAAAAGCCUAUCGAACUUGGCGAUAGCUGGUUGCCUAAAAUUGAACCUAAGUUCUACCUUGGCCCAGCUCUCUACUACAAAAGGAAGUCAAGGGGACUCAUUAGGGGUACAGCCCUAAUGAAAGGGGACACAACCCCUGCCUGAGAAUAAGUCAUAAAACGUUUACGGUAGGCUUUAAAGCGGCCACCCAUAAAAACAGCGUCAAAGCGCCCAACCAUUAAUCCCCAACAAAUCAGCCACCUCCAGCAAGAAUUAAGGCACUUCUAUAACUGUAGAAAAACUAAUGCUAAAACUAUUAAUAAGGCCCAACCCUCUAAGCACCCCCAUCAGUUGUAACGGAUCAGCCACCAACAAUUAUCAGCCAUAUAAGCAAACCCAAACCACAAACCUUCUAUCAACUGUGACACCAACACUGGAGUGCCUAAAAGAAAGAUAAAAAGCCACAGAAGGAACUCGGCAAACACUGGCUCCAACUGUUUACCAAAAACAUAACCUUUAGCAAACCAAGUAUUAAAGGCAUCGCCUGCCCAGUGAGAAAUUUCUUUAACGGCCGCGGUACCCUAACCGUGCGAAGGUAGCAUAAUCACUUGUCUAUUAAUCAUAGACUAGCAUGAAAGGCUGCAUGAGAGCCAAACUGUCUCCUGUGGUCCAUCAAUGAAACUGAUCUUACAGUCAAAAAGCUGUAAUGCCACCAUAAGACGAGAAGACCCUGUGAAACUUUCAACAAACUUCUUCCCCAGGAAGAAGUACUUUUAGUUGGGGCAACUUUGGAAAAGCCCAACUUCCAAACACCUAGAACACCCACUAUUACAUGGCCAACAUGCCUCAUUAUACGACCCAGUUUACCUGAUUAAUGAACCAAGCUACUCCAGGGAUAACAGCGCCAUCUUCUUCAAGAGCCCAUAUCAAAAAGAAGGUUUACGACCUCGAUGUUGGAUCAGGGCACCCCAGUGGCGCAGCCACUACUAAAGGUUCGUUUGUUCAACGAUUAAUAGC
rnacentral:rRNA from 1 species